rnacentral:rRNA from 1 species
GAUGAACGCUGGCGGCGUGCCUAAUACAUGCAAGUCGAGCGAACAGACGAGGAGCUUGCUCCUCUGACGUUAGCGGCGGACGGGUGAGUAACACGUGGAUAACCUACCUAUAAGACUGGGAUAACUUCGGGAAACCGGAGCUAAUACCGGAUAAUAUAUUGAACCGCAUGGUUCAAUAGUGAAAGACGGUUUUGCUGUCACUUAUAGAUGGAUCCGCGCCGCAUUAGCUAGUUGGUAAGGUAACGGCUUACCAAGGCAACGAUGCGUAGCCGACCUGAGAGGGUGAGCGGCCACCCUGGAACUGAGACACGGUCCAGACUCCUACGGGAGGCAGCAGUAGGGAAUCUUCCGCAAUGGGCGAGAGCCUGACGGAGCAACGCCGCGUGAGUGAUGAAGGUCUUCGGAUCGUAAAACUCUGUUAUUAGGGAAGAACAAAUGUGUAAGUAACUAUGCACGUCUUGACGGUACCUAAUCAGAAAGCCACGGCUAACUACGUG